rnacentral:rRNA from 1 species
CUUGAUGGAGAGUUUGAUCCUGGCUCAGGACGAACGCUGGCGGCGUGCUUAACACAUGCAAGUCGAGCGGAAAGGCCCCUUCGGGGGUACUCGAGCGGCGAACGGGUGAGUAACACGUGAGCAACCUGCCCCUGACUUCGGGAUAAGCCUGGGAAACCGGGUCUAAUACCGGAUAUGACCUC